rnacentral:rRNA from 1 species
CCUACGGGGCGCCGCAGUGAGGAAUAUUGGUCCAUGGGCGCGAGCCUGAAACAGCCAAGUAGCCUGAAGGAUGACUGCCCUACGGGUUGUAAACUUCUUUUAUAAUGGGAUAAAGUGAGUCCCGGUUGCCUUUUUGUUUGUACUUUAUGAAUAAGAAUCGGCUAACUCCGUACCAGCAGCCGCGGUAAUACGGAGGAUCCGAGCGUUAUCCGGAUUUAUUGGGUUUACAGGGAGCGUAGAUGGGUUGUUAAGUCAGUUGUGAAAGUUUGCGGCUCAACCGUAAAAUUGCAAUUGAUACUGGCAGUCUUGAGUACAGUUGAGGUAGGCGGAAUUCGGGGUGUAGCGGUGAAAUGCUUAGAUAUCACGAAGAACUCCGAUUGCGAAGGCAGCUUACUAAACUGCCACUGACAUUGAGGCUCGAAAGUGUGGGUAUCAAACAGGAUUAGAUACCCCUGUAGUC